CACCCUUUAAUGGCUGGUGUUCUAACGUGGGCCCCUGAUCGGGGUUGCGGACAGUGUCUGGUGGGUAGUUUGACUGGGGCGGUCUCCUCCUAAAGAGUAACGGAGGAGCACGAAGGUCAGCUAAUCCUGGUCGGACAUCAGGAGGUUAGUGCAAUGGCAUAAGCUGGCUUGACUGCGAGCGUGACGGCGCGAGCAGGUGCGAAAGCAGGUCAUAGUGAUCCGGUGGUUCUGAAUGGAAGGGCCAUCGCUCAACGGAUAAAAGGUACUCCGGGGAUAACAGGCUGAUACCGCCCAAGAGUUCAUAUCGACGGCGGUGUUUGGCACCUCGAUGUCGGCUCAUCACAUCCUGGGGCUGAAGUAGGUCCCAAGGGUAUGGCUGUUCGCCAUUUAAAGUGGUACGCGAGCUGGGUUUAGAACGUCGUGAGACAGUUCGGUCCCUAUCUGCCGUGGGCGCUGGAGAAUUGAGGGGGGCUGCUCCUAGUACGAGAGGACCGGAGUGGACGCAUCACUGGUGUUCGGGUUGUCAUGCCAAUGGCAUUGCCCGGUAGCUAAAUGCGGAAGAGAUAAGUGCUGAAAGCAUCUAAGCACGAAACUUGCC
rnacentral:rRNA from 1 species